rnacentral:rRNA from 1 species
CCUACGGGAGGCUGCAGUGGGGAAUAUUGCACAAUGGGGGAAACCCUGAUGCAGCGACGCCGCGUGAGUGAAGAAGUAUUUCGGUACGUAAAGCUCUAUCAGCAGGGAAGAAAAUGACGGUACCUGACUAAGAAGCCCCGGCUAACUACGUGCCAGCAGCCGCGGUAAUACGUAGGGGGCAAGCGUUAUCCGGAUUUACUGGGUGUAAAGGGUGCGUAGGCGGCAGCGCAAGUCUGGAGUGAAAUCCCAUGGCUUAACCAUGGAACUGCUUUGGAAACUGUGCAGCUAGAGUGCAGGAGAGGUAAGCGGAAUUCGUAGUGUAGCGGUGAAAUGCGUAGAUAUUAGGAGGAACCCCAGUGGCGAAGGCGGCUUACUGGACUGUAACUGACGUUGAGGCUCGAAAGCGUGGGGAGCAAACAGGAUUAGAUACCCUUGUAGUC